AUAAAUAAAUUUUUUAUGAUUUAAAAAAUUUUUUAAAAAUUUAUUUUACAUAUAAAUUUUAGUGUAAAUUUUUAAAUAUUUAAAUAAUAUUUAAUUUAAUUAAAUAGUAAUUAAUAUUAAAAAUUUAAGAAAUUAAGAUUUAGUAAUAUUAAAAUUAAUAACAAAUUUUGUGCCAGCAGUUGCGGUUAUACAAAAAUUAAAUUAAAUAUUGUUAGUAAUAAUUAAUAUAAAAAUAAUUUAAUUUAAAUAUUAAAUUAAUAAGUGAAAUUUUAAUUUAAUUAAAAAUUAUUAUAUAAUAAAUUAUAUGAUUUAAUAAAUUUUAUUAAAAACUAGGAUUAGAUACCCUAUUAUUAAAAAUUUAAAUUAAAAAUACUAAAAUAGUAAAUAAUUAUUUAUUUAAACUUAAAUAAUUUGGCGGUAUUUUAGUUCAUUUAGAGGAAUCUGUUUAUUAAUUGAUAAUCCACGAAUAAUUUUACUUAAUUUAUUAAUUUUGUAUAUCGUUGUUAAAAAAAUAUUUUUAAAUAAAUUUAAAUAUUUAAAAAUUAUAAAAAAAAAUUAAAUCAGAUCAAGAUGCAGAUAAUAAUUAAGAAUAUAAUGGAUUACAAUAAAUUUAUUUAUAUGAAUAUUAAGUUGAAAAAUUUAAUUGAAAGUGGAUUUAAAUGUAAUUUUAUUUAAUUUAAUAAAAUGAUUAAAAAUUAAAAUAUGUACAUAUUGCCCGUCGCUUUCAUUAAUAAAUUGAAAUAAGUCGUAACAAAGUAGAGGUACUGGAAAGUGUUUCUAGAAAGAG
rnacentral:ncRNA from 1 species